UACGUAGGGGGCAAGCGUUGUUCGGAAUUAUUGGCGUAAAGAGCGCGUAGGCGGUCCGAUAAGUCGGCUGUGAAAGUCCAGGGCUCAACCCUGGAAGCCGGCCGAUACUGUCGGACUAGAGUCCGGAAGAGGCAAGUGGAAUUCCCGGUGUAGCGGUGAAAUGCGCAGAUAUCGGGAGGAACACCAAUUGCGAAGGCAGCUUGCUGGGACGGUACUGACGCUGAGGCGCGAAAGCGUGGGGAGCAAACAGG
rnacentral:rRNA from 1 species